AGAGCACUUUUAAUUUCUGACUCAACAUUUACAGAUUUCCAGAAGAGACAAGGGACUGGGACAGUGCCACUUCUCCAGUGACACUGGACAAACCAACAGUCCAAUUUCUCCUCCUCCAGAAAACAAAUACAAACCAAUCAGUUAUUUACACCCCAUGGACACGCAGCUCUCUCAAGGUAAAAAGAGAGUUUUUAAUUUCUGAUUCCAACAUUUAUAGAUUUAUAGAUAACAUUUAUAGAUUUCCAGAAGUGUCAGUGGACUGGAGGGUGGCAGUGGAUUGGAGGGUGACAGUGCCACCUCUCCAGUGACACUGGACAAUCCAACAGUCCAUCAGAUUUCUCCUCCUCUAUAAAAGAAUGCAAACCAAUCAGUUAUUUACAGAAAGUGUGGGAGAGAGUUCCUUACAAGAAUGUAAACAUCAGAAGGCUCAGAAAAACUUUAAAACCCAGGGUGACAGUCCCCCAGCAGGUUUGGGGAGCAGGACAGGCUGGGCUCAGCGUGGCUCCAGCAGGGAAAGGGGAGCAGGGACAGCACAGCGAGGCUCAGAGCUCUGAGGGCAGCUGUGCUGCUCUGAUUUCCUUUUCCACCUCUUUCUUCCCCCUCUUUCUGAGGGAGCUGGCCCAGCUGGAUCCCAGCAGGAACUUUUCAUUCCCUGUUAAUGAGAAACUCCUGCACUUUGUCCCUUGAAACGGAGCCACGUUCCCCACGUGCUGCUGGGGAAGGGCUCUGGCUGAGGUCACAGGAGGGAUCCAGAGGCUCCUGUCCCACACGUGGGUCCAGGGCUGGAUCAGAGUCUGGUGGAGCCAGGGAAGGGGAAUCCAUCCCCUCCCAACCUCCCCCAGCCCCAUCCUGGCUGGGAUGAGCCCAGCAGGCACAGGGCAGCCCCCACACUGCCAAAAUCCUGAGUCAGGGACUGCUGGGCUGGGGUGGUGGGGUUACUCCUUCCUCAGGGGGUGCUUGGUGUCCUGGAGCUGGGCAGUGGGGUCACUCCUUCCUCAGGAGCUGCUGGGUGUCCUGGAGCUGGGCAGUGGGGUCACUCCUUCCUCAGGGGCUGCUGGGUGUCCUGGAGCUGGGCAGUGGGGUCAUUCCUUCCUCAGGGACUGCUGGGUGUCCUGGAGCUGGGCAGUGGGGUCACUCCUUCCUCACCUCCUGGAAGAGCUGGAGCAGCUUUUGGGCAGGGCCAGGGAAUCCCAGAAGGUCCCAAGAGCAGAUUCAGGAGUGUGGUGGGAAGCAGGGAAGGGGAGAUUUCUGUUCCAUGAGCCUCAGGAGUGUUUUCCCUCCUGUCUCUGCUCUGAGCAAAGCCCAGUGCCCCAGGCUCUGCCUCCCUCCACUGUGCCAAUGCCUCUCAUCUCCAGCAGGUCUCUCUUUCCUGGACAGGAGUGCCCUGACCCUUCUGGCUCCAUCCCAGCCAGGAAUUCUCUGGCACUCCUGGCCCUGAGCUGGGAAGGGAAUCUGAUGUGAUUUCUCCUCUCAGUUCAUCCUGGGCUGCAGAAUUCCUCAGAGCCAGCAGGAAAUUCCUCACCCACCAGCAGCAGGAGGGAUCUCUCCAGCCUGGCACUGACAGCUCCAAGUCUGCCUGGCCUGGCAGUGUUGGCAGGGCAGCCACAAGCAGGAGCAUCCUUCCUUGUCCUGAAUCCAUCCCUCAGCUCCUGCCACGGUGCUCUGGGCAAACACUGGAGCUUCCCACUGGAGCUUGGUCUGAUUCCAGCUCUUGAGCCCCCUUGCUGUCUCCUUUUUGCUUCCCUGAGUCACCAGCUGACUGUGGAGCCCACUGGUUUUACUCUGCAGAAAGGCUCAUCCCAAACUCCAGAGUCACAGCCAAACCUCUCCAGCCUCUGGAGCAUCUGGAAUUCAGAGUUUGGGCCUUUCCUGAGGGAGGGUUGGGAGCUCUGGGAUUUGAGUCUCCAUUUUUUGGGGUGGUGUCUCAAGAGGUGCUGCUGAUUUCUCUCACUUGCCACAGAAAGGGAAGAAAAAUAUUCCCAGCUCUGGAGGCUUCUCAGCUUUUCAUUCCUGCUUCCCCCAGCUCCUUAAAGGGGGAGGGCGAGGGAGGGGAGCAGGAAACUCUCAGGCAGCUGGGAUUUUUCACCAGGAGCCGACAGAACGCCUGAGCUCGGCGGCUGCGCUUUGAGGUGGGUGGUGAAAAUGUCACAGGGGCUGGGCUGGGCUGCAGGGGAGCAGGGAGAGCUUGGAGAGCUGGGCUGGGGGAAGCCCCUGCUCUGAAAGGGCUGGGGGAGAGACAAAAAAAAAAACCAAAAACAGAGAAAAACAACAACCAAAAAAAAACAAAGAAAAAAAAAAGUCCAAAAAACCCCACAAAAACCAAUACCAAAAGGAAAAAAAAAGAAAAUAAAAAAGAAAAAGAAUCCUCUGAAAAGACUGACUGGAGAUAUGAAAAAUAUUCCUGUGAAGUCUGAUGCAGUGCCCGUCUGGAGCUGCUCUGGUGUCCCCCAGAGCUGUGGGAGAGGGCAAAGGGUCACCUGGAAGAGUUGGGUUUCCUUGGCCGGCCUCGUGCUCCUCCUGCUUUAUCUGAGGAAGGGAAUAUUGAUUUGAUUCUGCUCCUCUGCUCUGCUCCAUCCCCCAACGCCACAUCAGCAGCAUCUGCAGGAUGACCUCGAUGAGGAACAGAUUGUCCCCUGGCCUGCCUCCAUCUCCUGCCUGUGGGGACAUCAGCCUUGGGCUGGGGACAGGGGGAGGGGGAGGCUGGGCUGGGUCCAGGAGCCACGACUCAGGAUAACGUCAGCAGGGAGCUGGGAAGGGGUUUGGGAGCUGGGAGAGGGUUUGGGAGCUGGGAAAGGGGUUGGGAAAGGGGUUUGGGAGCUGGGAAAGGGUUUGGGAAAGGGGUUUGGGAGCUGGGAAAGGGUUUGGGAGAUGGGAAAGGGUUUGGGAAAGGGGUUUGGGAGUUGGGAAAGGGGCUGGGAGCUGGGAAAGAGGUUGGAAAAGGGUUUGGGAGCUGGAAAAAGGUUUGGGAGAGCUGGGAAAGGGUUUGGGAGAUGGGAAAGGGUUUGGGAGUUGGGAAAGUGUUUGGGAGCUGGGAAACGGGCUGGUAGCUGGGAAAGGGUUUGGGGUUACAGCAGGGUUUGGGAGCUGGAGCAGGGUUUAGGAAUUACAGAGGGGUUUGGGAGUUAAAGCAGGUUUGGGAACAGCAGAAGUGUUUGGGAGCUGGGGAAAGGUUUGGGAAUAAGAGCAGGGUUUGGGAGCUGGAAAAGGGGCUGGGAGCUGGGAAAGGGUUUGGGGUUACAGCAGGGUUUGGGGUUACAGCAGGG